AUGGUCUGUCGGCUGCCAGCGUGCGGGCACCUGUUCCACGCGGGCUGCAUCGACCGAUGGCUACAUCAGCAGGCCACGUGCCCACUGUGCUGCACCGCCGUCAUCGUCCCCGGCGCACCCCAGCAGCGGCAGGCUGAGCUUCCUGUCUGA
rnacentral:rRNA from 1 species